rnacentral:rRNA from 1 species
CCCCCGCGCGCGGCGGGCGGGGCGGGGGCACGGGGGGAACGCGAAGAACCUUACCUACUCUUGACAUCCAGAGAACUUAGCAGAGAUGCUUUGGUGCCUUCGGGAACUCUGAGACAGGUGCUGCAUGGCUGUCGUCAGCUCGUGUUGUGAAAUGUUGGGUUAAGUCCCGCAACGAGCGCAACCCUUAUCCUUUGUUGCCAGCGGUCCGGCCGGGAACUCAAAGGAGACUGCCAGUGAUAAACUGGAGGAAGGUGGGGAUGACGUCAAGUCAUCAUGGCCCUUACGAGUAGGGCUACACACGUGCUACAAUGGCGCAUACAAAGAGAAGCGACCUCGCGAGAGCAAGCGGACCUCAUAAAGUGCGUCGUAGUCCGGAUUGGAGUCUGCAACUCGACUCCAUGAAGUCGGAAUCGCUAGUAAUCGUAGAUCAGAAUGCUACGGUGAAUACGUUCCCGGGUCUUGUACACACCGA